AUUGAACGCUGGCGGCAUGCUUUACACAUGCAAGUCGAACGGUAACAGGCCUUCGGGCGCUGACGAGUGGCGAACGGGUGAGUAAUGCAUCGGAACGUGCCCAGUCGUGGGGGAUAACUACUCGAAAGAGUGGCUAAUACCGCAUACGAUCUGCGGAUGAAAGCGGGGGACCUUCGGGCCUCGCGCGAUUGGAGCGGCCGAUGUCAGAUUAGGUAGUUGGUGGGGUAAAGGCUCACCAAGCCAACGAUCUGUAGCUGGUCUGAGAGGACGACCAGCCACACUGGGACUGAGACACGGCCCAGACUCCUACGGGAGGCAGCAGUGGGGAAUUUUGGACAAUGGGCGCAAGCCUGAUCCAGCAAUGCCGCGUGCAGGAAGAAGGCCUUCGGGUUGUAAACUGCUUUUGUACGGAACGAAACGGUCCUGGCUAAUACCUGGGGCUAAUGACGGUACCGUAAGAAUAAGCACCGGCUAACUACGUGCCAGCAGCCGCGGUAAAAC
rnacentral:rRNA from 1 species